UCCGAUUGAUCUUGUUGGUGGCUUUCCUUUGUCUUGAAGAUUAAGCCAUGCAUGUCUAAGUAUGAACUGGUUUAAGGUGAAACUGCGUACGGCUCAUUACAUCAGCUAUAACUUUCUUUGAUCAUAAAUUCUAAAUGGAAUAACCGAGGAAAAGCCUGGGCUAAUACAUGCGACAAUUCCGGUAGUAAUAUCGGAAUGCUUUUAUUAGAUCAAAACCCUCUAGUUCUUUAACCGGAACUGUUUGUUGGUGACUCUAAAUAACUUUGUGUUGAUCGUAUGACCUUUGUGUCGACGACAUAUCUUUCAAGUGUCUGACUUAUCAACUUUAGACGGUACAUUAUAUGUCUACCGUGGUUGUAACGAGUACAGAGAAUCAGGGUUUGGUUCUGGAGAGGCCGCCUGAGAAACGGCGACCACUUCCAAGGAAGGCAGCAGGCGCGCAAAUUACCCACUCUCAAAACGAGGAGGUAGUGAAGAGAAAUAACGAUGUUAGUCUUAUUUAGGCUGACAAUCGGAAUGGGAACACUGUAGACAGGUUAUCGAUUAACAAUUGGAGGGCAAGUCUGGUGCCAGCAGCCGCGGUAAUUCCAGCUCCAAUAAGGAAAACUAAAGUUGCUGUGUUUAAAAAGCUCGUAGUUGAAUUUCGGGUAUUUGUUGCUAGCUGGUCUAACUGGCCAUGUUGGUUAACAGAUCCUCAUUUGCUGGACGGCUGGCGAUGAUCUUUAUCGAUUGUCGUCAGUUGCCAGAACGUUUACUUUGAGAAAAUUAGAGUGCUAAAAGCAGGCUUUCGCCUAUAUAUAUUGCAUGGAAUAAUGAAAUAAGAUCUCGAUUUUAUUUCGUUGGUUUUAGAAAUUGAGAUAAUGAUUAAUAGGAUCAGAGGGGGGCGUACGUACUGUGGUGUGAGAGGUGAAAUUCUUGGAUCGCCACAGGACGAACAGCAGCGAAGGCGUUCGCCAAGAAUGUUUUCAUUAAUCAAGAACGAAAGUUUGAGGUUCGAAGACGAUUAGAUACCGUCCUAGUUCAAACCAUAAACGUUGCCAACUGUCUUUUAGAUGCGGUUAUUUAUAUGACUCACCUGGCGGAUCUCGAGAAAUCUAAGUUUUUAGGUUCCGGGGGAAGUAUGGUUGCAAAGCUGAAACUUAAAAGAAUUGACGGAAGGACACACAAGAAGUGGAGCCUGUGGCCUAAUUUGWCUCAACACGGGAAACCUUACUCGGCCAGGACACUAAAAAAAARRAUAUAUCGCCUAUUGACAUUUAUAUUGAACUGUUAAAUUGAAAAAUAUGAUAAGUGAGAAAUGUUUAGGUA
rnacentral:rRNA from 1 species